rnacentral:rRNA from 1 species
UUUUCCUACGGGGCGCAGCAGUGAGGAAUAUUGGUCAAUGGACGAAAGUCUGAACCAGCCAUGCCGCGUGCAGGAAGACGGCUCUAUGAGUUGUAAACUGCUUUUGUACAAGGGUAAACCUGAAUACGUGUAUUCAGCUGAAAGUAUCGUACGAAUAAGGAUCGGCUAACUCCGUGCCAGCAGCCGCGGUAAUACGGAGGAUUCAAGCGUUAUCCGGAUUUAUUGGGUUUAAAGGGUGCGUAGGCGGUCGGAUAAGUUAGAGGUGAAAUCCCGAGGCUCAACUUCGGAAUUGCCUCUGAUACUGU